UCACAUCCUCUCUAGCAUUUCUUAUUUGUUGACAUGUUCCUGAUGGCCAUUCUGACCUGUGUGAGGUGGAGAAGGACUUUCUAAUGAUCAGCUCUUCUCUCACAGGAGACCCUGCCAUGGAGAAUGUGAAUUUUCAUCCUUGAAAACAUCCAUCAGAUGCUCAAAGUCCUGGGUUGGGAAGGAGGAGGCUCUAGGCAACCUCUGAGGCCCUUCUGAUACUAAGAUGGGUAUUCAGUGGAAACUCCAGGGAUUGAGUCCUUCUGUCAAACAGACGUCAACAUUGGAAACGUCAGAAGUACACAUUCUGUAUGUCUUCCAGACUUGGAAAGAACUGGGACCAAUUAAAAGUGAACUUUUAAGAGCAGCGAACAUCUUGCAUGCCAGGUUUCAGCUGAAUGUCACUCCAAUUGCCUGAAUUAUAACUAUCAGAAAAAAAUGCCUUCUAAUUAUGGAAAUGCCAUUAGGAGGAGUUCCUUCUGCCUGGAAACUUAAAAAAUGACUACCGCCCCUACUUCUACUCCAUCUCUUCACACGAUUGCUGUAGUUCAGAGGGAAAGAGGGAAGCUCACUGUAUUGAAAAGAGAAUUUGUACCAUAUGGAAUCUGAAUGUGGAUUCUAACUCCAUCAAUUAUUGCCUCUCCGACCUUGGAGAAAACAGUUGACCUCUCUGAUCCUCCAUUUCCCCAUUUAUAAAAACAAGGAUAAUAAUACCUACUCCAUGAAAGUGUUGUCAAGAUUAAAUGAGAUGGUGUACAUGAUAUAUAUAGCAUCUAGCCUUGCACGUAAGGGAUUGCAAAAUUGAGUGGGUGGAGAAGGAGGGACCAAGAUAAUUGUCGGUAAGAAUGAAGAGAGAGCUUUGACGCAAAUGAUAACUGACACAGUUACUCAUUUAAGCAGUUUUUCACUCUGGUGAUCUCUACACAUUCAUUUAGUUAUGGAGAGUCACACGCUCAUUUAGAUAUUGCUCUUUGGUGCCUUCGGGCCUGGUUGGCCAAUUCCACGCAGGAGGAGAUGAAGAUAUGUCGAACUUCAUCUUUCCAUAGAAUCUUGGCUCUGGGAGGAUUUCUAUUCUCUGAUCUUGCUGAUACCUGAUUUGAUCUCAUGAAGGUACUUCUCUGCCAUGGCAGAGCAUUCUCUUCCCCCUCCAUCUUUCACCCAAAUGCUGGACAGAGUCUGGAUCUGCCUUUUCCAGCAGGUGGACCUUAGAGCCUGACAACUGGGAAAAAGUAGAUUUAUUGCAGUGUGUCCCCAGAUCCAUAUACUUACCAAACAUUGCUUAUAGACAGAUAUGUCUUGAAAUUAUAUAUUCACAUAUAUUGCAAAUAUGUAUAAAAAAUACUUAAGACAGUAGCAGAUGAAGAGAAGCCUUUUGAGCUGUAUUUUCUCAGGCAAUGAGUAUAAAAGUACAAUCCUGU
rnacentral:lncRNA from 1 species